rnacentral:snoRNA from 1 species
AUGCAUCUCCAAGAGAUCUGGAGCAAUUAAUAUUUGCUGCUAAGGUUUCCAUUACAGAUGCAAGAAAAAAAAAGAUCCUUGUGUUUUCUGUCUGGUUAUGGCAGCCAAGAUAGAAUGGGGGAAUACAUGA